rnacentral:rRNA from 1 species
UACGAAGGGGGCUAGCGUUGCUCGGAAUGACUGGGCGUAAAGGGCGCGUAGGCGGUUGGCACGGUCAGAUGUGAAAUUCCCGGGCUUAACCUGGGGGCUGCAUUUGAUACGUGUUGUCUAGAGUGAGGAAGAGGGUUGUGGAAUUCCCAGUGUAGAGGUGAAAUUCGUAGAUAUUGGGAAGAACACCGGUGGCGAAGGCGGCAACCUGGUCCUUGACUGACGCUGAGGCGCGAAAGCGUGGGGAGCAAACAGG